ACCGUCUGUACCUUGUUAUCGUCAUUGCCA
rnacentral:piRNA from 1 species